GGGUUUUUGAUGUUUCAAGCCAUGUUUUCUGAAAUUGAUCAUUAGGUUAUGUCUCUAUAUUGUUAUAUUAAUGAUCCUUGUUAGUUAAUUUGAUCAAUUUUAUGGUUUUUGAAAAAUUGGAAAUUCUAGGGUUUGAAAUUGAUCCGAAUUGGGGAUUUUGUCAAAUUGGGUUAAAUUGAUGAAAUUGGCUUGUUCAAUUGAUGUAUUCGGUCAGUUUGGGUUUUGUGAUCAAUUGGUUAGAGAAACUGUGAAAGGGCUCCUGAAAGUGGGUUUUGAUUUAUUUGUUUUUUGUUUUUGCUAAAGCAAGGACAUUCAUGGGAUCCAGCCCAUCUUUUUGCCAUAAAUAAGGUGUAUUUUACGUCAGGCUUUUGGAAAUGAUGGGUGGUACUUCUUUGAAAGUGAUUCGCUCAAGGUUCUAGUUGACGCCCUUCUUGAAAAAGAAAAAAAAUGGUGAGCAAGGGGAGGAUCGAGUGCUCCGGAUUUUGCUGUACAGUUGUCACCAAAGAAAGGUCUCCGUGCAGCACUGUUGAAGAGCCGCUUUGCAGGAACUAUUCUGAAAGGCCAACAUAAGACACUUCUUGACCAUAGACGGCUAGGAUUGAAGCCCAAAUUAGAGACGCUGAAGCUGCCUUACGAAGGAAGGAAGAGGCUGAGUGUAAGCAGCAGCGGGAGAGAGAAAGGGAAGCUGCUCGAGUUGCCUUGCAGAAGAUGGAAAAAACUGUUGAUUUUGAGGAGAAUAUGGUGACCCAAAAAGAACUUGAGAUGUUAUUUGGCUGUUCAACAUCAUCUCUCUGCUCCAUGGAUCUUUAAGUCGAACCCAAUUAGAACAGUUAGGGUUAUUUAUCAAAGACGACGAUGACAAUGAAGAGGGACUUGAUUUUGAUGGGGAAGAAGGGGAAAUUUUUUCGUGACAUCCGACUCCUCUAUCUAUUCAACAAUUGUAUAUAGUUCCUUUUUCCAGCUCUGCUUGUUUAUAUCAUCAUAGUGGAUGGAAAAGGGGCAUUGGUUGUAAAUGACUAUUUUUUUAAGGGGUGAUACCCUCCUGAUAGGGAACUAAUAGAAAGUUAGUGUUUCCAAAGUAUAUAAAUUGCAGUUUUAAACAUUUCAUCUUUAUAA